AGGGAAUCUUGGACAAUGGGCGAAAGCCUGAACCAGCCAUGCCGCGUGAAGGAUGAAGGUCCUCUGGAUUGUAAACUUCUUUUAUCUGGGACGAAAACGGGAUUUUUAUCUCAAUUGACGGUACCAGAGGAAUAAGCACCGGCUAACUCCGUGCCAGCAGCCGCGGUAAUACGGAGGGUGCGAGCGUUAUCCGGAUUCAGUGGGUUUAAAGGGUGCGUAGGUGGGCAGAUAAGUCAGUGGUGAAAUCUUCCGGCUUAACCGGGAAACUGCCGUUGAUACUAUUUGUCUUGAAUAUUGCGGAGGUAAGCGGAAUAUGUCAUGUAGCGGUGAAAUGCUUAGAUAUGACAUAGAACACCAAUUGCGAAGGCAGCUUACUACACAAUCAUUGACACUGAGGCACGAAAGCGUGGGUAGCGAACA
rnacentral:rRNA from 1 species